rnacentral:rRNA from 1 species
GAUGAACGCUGGCGGCGUGCUUAACACAUGCAAGUCGAGCGAACGGACGAUAAGCUUGUUUCUUUGAUGUUAGCGGCGGACGGGUGAGUAACACGUGUAUCACCUACCUAUCAGACUGGGAUAACCUCGGGACACCGUAGCUUACACCGUAUAAUAUUCUGAACCGUAUUGUUCAAUAGUGAAAGACGGUCUUUCUGUCUCUUAUAGAUGGAUCCGCGCUGCAUUAGCUAGUUGGUAAGGUAACGGCUUACCAAGGCUACGAUGCAUAGCCGACCUGAGAGGGUGAUAGGCCACACUGGAACUGAGACACGGUCCAGACUCCUACGGGAGGCAGCAGUAGGGAAUCUUCCGCAGUGGGCGAAAGCCUGACGGAGCAACGCCGCGUGAGUGAUGAAGGUCUUCGGAUCGUAAAACUCUGUUAUUAGGGAAGAACAUAUGUGUAAGUAACUGUGCACAUCUUGACGGUACCUAAUCAGAAAGCCACGGCUAACUACGUG